AGGAAGGUAGUGUAGUUAACACCUGCAUUAUUUGACGUUACCUACAGAAGAAGCACCGGCUAACUCCGUGCCAGCAGCCGCGGUAAUACGGAGGGUGCGAGCGUUAAUCGGAAUUACUGGGCGUAAAGCGCAUGCAGGCGGCCUGUUAAGUCAGAUGUGAAAGCCCGGGGCGUUAACCUCGGAAUUGCAUUUGUAAACUAGGCAGGCUAGAGUCUUGUAGAGGGGGGUAGGAAGUUUCAGGUGUAGCGGUGAAAUAGCGUAGAGAUCUGAAGGAAUACCAGUGGCGAAGGCGGCCCCCUCGGACAAAGACUGACGCUCAGAUGCGAAAGCGUGGGGAGCAAACAGGAUUAGAUACCCUGGUAG
rnacentral:rRNA from 1 species